rnacentral:rRNA from 1 species
UAGGGAAUCUUCGGCAAUGGGGGCAACCCUGACCGAGCAACGCCGCGUGAGUGAAGAAGGUUUUCGGAUCGUAAAGCUCUGUUGUAAGAGAAGAACGUGUGUGAGAGUGGAAAGUUCACACAGUGACGGUAACUUACCAGAAAGGGACGGCUAACUACGUGCCAGCAGCCGCGGUAAUACGUAGGUCCCGAGCGUUGUCCGGAUUUAUUGGGCGUAAAGCGAGCGCAGGCGGUUUAAUAAGUCUGAAGUGAAAGGCAGUGGCUUAACCAUUGUUCGCUUUGGAAACAGGUAACUGGAGUGCAGAAGGGGAGAGUGGAAUUCCAUGUGUAGCGGUGAAAUGCGUAGAUAUAUGGAGGAACACCGGUGGCGAAAGCGGCUCUCUGGUCUGUAACUGACGCUGAGGCUCGAAAGCGUGGGGAGCAAACAGG